GUUCCGUAGGUGAACCUGCGGAAGGGUCAUUACUGGGUUUUGAAUGAAGUUGUUCUGGUCUUUCGGGGCAAGUGAACGCUUCUCUCAAUCCAUCAUACACCUGUGCACCUAUCGGGGAAGACUUGGAUCUAAGUUGGGUCACGACGGCGAUCUACGGUCUCCUCUUUAUACCAAAUAACUGUUUUAGAAAGUCUUUUUUGCUUGAUGCAAACUUAAAUAAAUACAACUUUCAGCAACGGAUCUCUUGGCUCUC
rnacentral:misc_RNA from 1 species